rnacentral:rRNA from 1 species
AGAGUUUGAUCCUGGCUCAGGAUGAACGCUAGCUACAGGCUUAACACAUGCAAGUCGAGGGGCAGCAUUGGAGUAGCAAUACUCAGAUGGCGACCGGCGCACGGGUGAGUAACGCGUAUCCAACCUGCCGCUUACUCGGGGAUAGCCUUUCGAAAGAAAGAUUAAUACCCGAUGGUAUAAAGAGUUCGCAUGUUCUCUUUAUUAAAGAAUUUCGGUAAGCGAUGGGGAUGCGUUCCAUUAGAUAGUUGGCGGGGUAACGGCCCACCAAGUCUACGAUGGAUAGGGGUUCUGAGAGGAAGGUCCCCCACAUUGGAACUGAGACACGGUCCAAACUCCUACGGGAGGCAGCAGUGAGGAAUAUUGGUCAAUGGACGAGAGUCUGAACCAGCCAAAGUAGCGUGAAGGAUGACUGCCCUAUGGGUUGUAAACUUCUUUUAUAAGGGAAUAAAGUGAGGGACGUGUCCCUUUUUGUAUGUACCUUAUGAAUAAGGAUCGGCUAACUCCGUGCCAGCCGCCGC